rnacentral:misc_RNA from 1 species
AUCGAGUGCACUUUCAGCCUUUUUGUUCUACAGAGAGGCCAUGCGUGUGCGAUACGGGCACGGCGUAUGGGGCAGAGGUUGAAGAGGUACGCGUCGGAAGAGAGAGAAGGAGAGAAGGAACCUCGCUGUCCCUUCUCUGUGGUGUGUUCGUUGCCCGUCCGCCGUGAACGCUCUUUGCGAGUGAGGGUGUCGGAUCGACUUUGCUGGGUUCUUACAGUUAACAAGCGUGAUGGGUGACGUACUGCAUGGUACUCGUUCUGUUUUCGCUCCUCUGUGCGCACGCAUACACCAACACUCGCAUUAUUCACGCGUUGUCUCCGCGCCGCUGCCGCCCUCCCUACUCGGCACCCUCACAAGCAAAGGACUAGACAUGUAUGCUUCAGGCGGUGUGCACUGUCUCCGAGCUAGUGUGUCUGUGUGCCUUCACGAGCGCGUGCGUGUGGGUUUCCGUGCAUGCCUCGCUGUGUGCCGUUUUCUAUAUAUAUAUAUAUUACCGACAAACAUGGAAGGCAAAUUGUGGUCUUGCUUCACAUCACGAAUGGGCGUGAGCCUCUUCUGUGAGGGGUGACAAACAUCCCGUGAUGCCGCUCAUCUCCUCUUGCGGGCUUAUUUUUUGCAGUUUCUCAGUGUAGUUGUUGUAUCAGCCGAUAUUGCGUGUGUGCAAGUGCGCGCCACGCAUCGUCAUCGAGGCAUCUUUGCGUCGGCGCGUGGCUCUCAACACCUGAUCUUGAUGCCGAUGCGCCAAUACGACGGAGGAGAAAGCCGCCGGGCUGUGAGGAGGUGUAUCACGAAUUGAAGAUGUGCCAAAAAAGAAAACGGCGGCACACCUUCUCUGCCUGUGCAAAGUAGCGACAGUACCCGCGCACCCGUGUUCGAAAACACACUCGUGCGCAUGCAUCUGUUUGUGCGUAUCGGUGCAUCUUUUUCUUUAUCUAACCUGUUUGUUUUCCUCCGACUUAAGCGGCCUGCACCUCACAUUUCUAUGUGACGGUGUAGACGAACGUGCUGAAGUACCCCGCCUCCCGUCCUUUCGUUUUUUUUUUCAAUCUGACCCUCUACUGCGACUUCAGUUGCCAGGUGCAUGCUCGCUGCCUUAAUUUGAAAGCGCACGCACCCUUCUCAUUCUUCUGUGUCCUUCUCUUCACGACUUACACACAUAGUAUGCAUUUGUUUUCUUCGAACUUCACACGUUUUUUUUUUUCGUUUCUCUUCCGGACAUCGCACGACCAUGAACGAAAGCGAACACCGAAGCCACGACGGACUAGGGCGAUCUUCUUUGCUUCCGCCUUUUCUUUCGCUCUCCUUUUCCACCCCCGCCCGCUUUCUUCCGUCGAUGUGCCCUCCUCAUUUUGUGUCGACUGUGUGUGACUCGUUUUUUGUUUUGUUUCGAAUGUGCCUCGAGUCUCCCCCUCGCGAUUUGUUUUUUUCGGUUUUCCGCACGCGUCUCGUGUUCUCUCUUGUGCCAUAUUCCCUUCCGUUUUCUUUUUUCUUUGUUCUCCGGUCCCGCGCGCGCCACGUGGAAACCGCCGACGUCUUUGCCCAUGAAGAUGGGCAAGACGUAAACUCUCACACACGCGCACGCAUGCUCAUGCACACACCAAGCGCCUUUGUUUACAAGCGAAGGCAACCAUUGCCGCGCCGGCACAACUGCACAAAGGCAGGCAAGAACAGCGGUGUCUUCGCUUGGGGUUUUGUUUUCCCAGAAGAGCCAUGGUGUGCUUGCAUAUAUGUAUGUGUGUGUGUGUGUCUCUUGGAGGAGGUUGGAAGGAAACAGUGCUUCGCUGUGACGCCUGGCGUGCCCCCACCCCUUUUUUUUCCUUUUGUGUCUUCUGUUAUUUUUUUUCUUUCGCUUGGCUCUUUUUAUUCUCCACUGUCUUGGGUGCUUCCUUCCCUUCUGCCGCCUUUGAUGCAGCACGACCUGUAAGCGUACAAGAAGAGCAUUAGUGUCUGAUGCGAUAAACAAACUAGGAAAAAAUGCACGCACAUGCACGCUCCUCUCUCUUCAUGCCAUAGUUCGUCAUUCGCUGGUUGUGUUUUUGCUUUGCUCUUCGUUCGCGAUUGUAGCGCUGCCCUCGCCAUUCCCACCCACCGCGCACUUCUCAUCCUUCCGACUGUCUUGCCGGGGCGCUCCGUGGACGCGCGUACGUGGACAAGUCGCUGAGUCGCGGAAGUGACAUGUGACCCCCCCCUGCACCCGGCAUAUACGAAACACUCUUGAGUGAAAUGAUAGGCAUAUAGCCAAAAAGGGAAAAGAGAAGCGCGAAGGUUGAGGGUGUCGUUCGUCAGCUGCUGCUUGGCGCACAAGUGAAUUUAUUCUUGAUGCAACAUCCGACGAUCUGCCUAUGUUUUCCCUCUUCUUACUCUUCUGCACUCCCUGUACCUGGGUCUGUCGUGCACGGAAAAAUACGCUGCAGGGGGAAGGGAGCGCGCAGGAGAGAGGGAGAGCAGGCCGAUGCUGUGAAGUGGAUACGACGAUAAGACAGUUGCACGGUUACGCGAAAAGCAUCAAUGCACCCCCCUUUUCCUUGAGCAGCAGCAAGCUCUGCCGUGUGCCGAGGCUGUCCCUAUGCUGAUGCACCUCGUGUGCAUGUGUGAUUUUUUCCUCUUUUCCUUUGAUGUGUGUUUCUUCACCUUUCUUUCUGUGGGUCUAUUUAUGCACGUGUGUGCGGUUGUUUCCGUGUUCUCCUUACGAGCCCUCCUCACGCCCCUCUUCCUGUCGCUGACGGCGUUCGCCACUUCUUUAGCUGGAUCAUGUGUGGCGUAUAGGCACGAAAACACAAAUACACACACACACACACACGCAAACACUCACGAAGUCCCCCGCCGCGUCGAGGCCAAUCAGAGGGAGAGGAAGUUAUGCGUUUCCUUCUUGCACUAUCGCUCUCGAUCACUGACUACGGUGAAGCUUCUCUCUCUCUGUGUACUCACGACCCCCUCUCACUCAUCCUUCGCUGCUGAUGCGCGAGUGGUCUGACUUCUUUUUCUUUUCCUUUGGUCUACAUCGUUGCAAUAAGAGUCUUCUCUUGUGUAGGCGUUUUUUAUUUAGGGCGGUCUAACUGCUCAACGACAACAAAGGCCUCAGUGCCAAGGAUGGUGUCGCUAUGCUUUCUUUUUUAUCCGCGCCCCCACCUCCACUCCUUCAAUCUCCCCGUCUACACUUGUGCAAGCCGUCCGGCGCACAUGGCAAACGCGGAGAAAUAGUUUCAAGUUUGUUUUCACACACAUGUAAUGAUGCUAUGGAUUCACUUGUUUGCCGUAGUCCCCGCUUUCUUUUUGGCCUCUAUCUUUCACUCAUCGACUCUUAUUUCCGCCUGCGGCCGUGCUCUUUCUUUGUUUCUCUUUGGUGUCCUGCUUGCUUGGUUAGUCUCACUGUCUUCCUCUCACCCCCUCCCUCUUUCCUUUCUCGGUGUUGAUUUGCCUUUUUACACUUCGCCUGUCCAUGUCUCUGCUGGUUGUUGUUUGUUGGUCUCGUGUUUGCCUCUUGUCGCUCUGGACGCUUGUCUACUUUUCUUUAUAGUUAUUUUUUCAUUCGUUUUCACAAAUAACAAUGCUUCGCCUCCCCCCGCCCCCUACCCCUCAUCUCGAACGUGUUCUCCCUCUUUUUCGUGUGCGUGCGUGCGUGUUUUGCUCGUCUCUUCACCCCCCCACCAACACUCUUCGCGUGCCAGAGCCAAGAAAAAGUAAUUUUUUUUUCUUGCGUGUUUGCCCCUCAGCCUCCCUCCACUUCCCCCGUCCCUCUCUUACCGCAUCCUCGGCGCGGUAGCUCGACUUUGCCGCUCGUUCUCUUUUCAAAAGCAACAGAGAAAGAAUGAGCACGGGAAAGCGCACCACCCCAGAGACAGGCGCAAGUCAGAACGCAGAAUAAGCGAAACGCAUCAGUCAAGGAAAAAAUAAACCACAAAGAAAACAGCAACAACAACAAAGCAACGCAACCGCAUCUGUGCCACUUCUGCGGGAUGUUUCUCUUCCUCCCCCCCACUCUCUCUCUAUGUAUCUUGUUCUCGUCGUGCACUCAUGCCCGUUCACUGUUUGAAUGGGAUACCAAAUCAUGCACCAAGCACAUGUACGCAAGUCAACGAAAGUGAAGAAUACAAGUGGAACAGUGAACUGCAUUGGCUGAGUUGCAUCUGUAGCGCUAGUCUGUACUAGCGCGCCAGCUUGCACUUCUCUUUCCUCCUCCGCACACGCACACACACAAGGCGGACAGCACUGUGCCUACGCUCUCUCUUUUUCUCCCCCCUCUCAUUCUCACUUCAGGCUUUACGGCUGCUUUUCACCUCUGGUGAGGCGACCUCUUAAAAUGUCUGUGUUCACCUUGCUGUUUCUGUGUUCGUUUUCGACGCCGACGGUGUCUGCGUUCGAAUCUUGACGUGCAUGCUUCACUUCUGGUGAACACACACACACACACACACUUCUCUCCCUUUUGUCCUUUGAACUCUCGCGUUUUUACGUAUGUGUUCAUGUGUGCACGCUCGACUUCAUCGGGUGUUUUCAUGCACGCCUGCCUUUACGUGUACAUCGGUUCUCUCAUUUUACCCUCUCUCUGUUGUUGACCUACUCGCCGAUUUUUCCCCCUUCGUCUGAUUUUUCUGUGCUUGUACACGCGUGCGCGUGUGUGUGAUGCCAAUUGUAUCGCUGCGUUUUUUUUUUUUUCAUAUGCGUGUGUUGAGGAAACUGCUCGUCUCGUUCUCCCGACAACGUGCUGAAGGAGAGGUUUGUUCAUGAACGACAGGGCCUCACUUUGCGUUUUCGCCUUGAUUGCCUUCUUUUCGUUUUUAGCGUUCAACCAUUUUCCUGUUACGACUGCUAUUAUUAUCACUACUAUGAUUUUACUGCUAUAUUAUGUUUUUUUUUUUGUUUAGUGUGCCCCAUCCCCCCCCCUCUCCCACCACCACCUCUCCUCUCCUCUCGUUAUUUCGUGACGUUCACUGUCUUAGAGACACUAUCCUUUCUUUCACAGUUUCGCUUUCGUUUCUGCGCCUUUCUCUCUCGCUCUGUGUGCCUGCAGCACGUCACUUCCUUUUCUAAUCUCUUUUCGCGUGUCGCUUCGUUUUUAUCCAGGUUUGAUCGCCUCACGACUGUGUAUUCUUGGAUGCUUCUCAUUUUCAGGCCUUCUUAAAUUUUUUCUUCGCCUUUCUUCUCCACCCCUUCUCUGCUGCUUUAUGUGCGCAUGCGCGUGAGCGUUUCUCUCUUUUCUGUUGUAUCUUGCUCUCGUCGUUCUCUCUCUGUGUUGUAGUUUUUCUCUCUUUACUUGACUGCCCGCUUUUCGCUUGAGAUGUCUCUCUGAUGACACUACAUGCGGCCUCCCUCCACUCGCCGAACAAGGAUCUACCUUCUCCCUGUCUAUUCUUUUUUUUUCUUGUCCUUCCUCUAGCGUUGAUUCCGUUGCUUCGCUCGUUGGCUCUCGUUCAGUGAGUGCAUACUUCGGCCUCUUUAUCUCUCUCUUCGUCCGACUUUUUCCCACACAGUUUCUCGCUUGCGCACCAUUUUCGUUUUCCUUUUGCCUUGGCGUUUUUUUUUCCUGCUCACAUCCUCCUCUCGGCUCGUCUUCUGUGCUCAAAACGGAAGUUUGCGGGGCGCUGCGGCGACGCUGUUGUCUGGCCGAUCGACCACGGGACGUGCGCGGAUGGGCGAGUAAAGGUCUCCGUACCCACCUCACCAGCUUUCCAACCGUCUGACGCUUUCUUUUUUUUUUCUCGUUCGCUCUCUUCCCCGUCCCUCUCCUUCCACCUGACGGGCCUCCCGUCUCAUUGACGUCUCUCUUUGUGGUCCCCCUUCACGGUGUUUUCCUUUUCUUCCUUGUCCGCACACUGGAGCCUUUGCAUGACGCAGAUCUCGUUUUUUUGUUUUGCUUCAAAAGGGUGCCGUUCUCUGUUGUCUGCAGGACCGACAGGCAAGUAGCCCUGACGCUUAUCCCCACCCUGUCGGCGCACCCUGCAAGACGGCAAGCACCGCACGUACUAAGCAGCACUUACAGCAAAAGAAGAACGACAAAGAGGGCGCGACUACGGAGCCGGAGCACAGCGAGAAAGAGGCGAAAAAGAGGCAGAGACGCCGAUGCGGAGGGAGACGGAGAAGGCGAAAAAGAAGUACGCCAGCUGUCACACGCACCAACGUCCCUCUCCCCGUCUUCACAUGCUCGCACGCACACGCACAGGAAUACACACAGGGCAUCUCCUUUUGAUUUCAGAGAGCGAGAAAAACGGAGAGGCGUUACGGGUGCUGUUUGAACUGGUCUGUCUUGGGGUUUUCACUUCGGCAUGAGUCACUACUGCCGCUGCUGCUUUUUUUUAAUUCUCCCUUUCAGCGCAUUUUUCACCUUUCUCUAACACGACUUGUUCGACUCUUUUCGUGGGCUUUUCCGUUUUCUUUUUUUCUCCCUAUUCCUUGCCUCAUCCCCCAUCACUGCAUUUCUUCUCCUGCUUUCUCUCUGUCGCUUGCUGGUCUAUUCCCUGAUGUGUAGUGAGCCCGCACGUGUGUGCACGUGCCGGCGAGCGCUCUCCGAAUGAAGUACCGCUCUGUGCGUGUACCUCUCAUCGCUGAACGCUUUUCGUUCGUUUUCUGCUUUUUUUUGUAAAUUCACCUUUGCUUGUUACUUCGUCCACACCUCCAUCCCCACUACUCCACUAGAGGUCUCCCUAGGCUUGCUCCCGCACGAAGUACCCCCGCACCAGUCGGGUACCGAGAUUGGCGCAGCGCUUGUGGGCUCUGCUUUCGUGCGUUCGACUUGGCACCUCACGGCAGUGAAGAAGCGCAGCGUAGCGCCGUAACUUACUCGCUGGAUCAUGGAUUUCUGAGACGGCGGUCCUGUCUGCGUUCGCCUCCGCGAGAAGAGACCAGAGAUAUCCCGCUUUACACGCCGAGCCCACAGGAGUGUGCUCGAGGCCCUCUUCUCUCCACCGCUGUAGUCGACUCGCUGGGUAUGGGGCUCCGCAAGACCGGCGAACUGCACUACGCCUUCUGUGCUGAUGAGCUCACACUCCUCACGCCCUCCUCUGGCGAGAAUGUCAUACAGGUCACGCUGCGAUUCGCACUCUGGAGGGCGGAGCACAGGCCGCUGAAGCGCUUCAUGGUGCUCAGUGCCCAGCCCAAAGCAAAAUGCACACCCCUCUCUGCGCGGCCAAGCUCACUGUCCAUUUCCGGGAGGGACACGGCUCGUUGCACGCGCGUGCCCGGAGGAGGAUCGCUGCCCCUUCCGCCUUCCCGGCGUAGACCUCCAACCCAUGCGCGACACUGGCCGGCACGUUGCAGGAGCCAUCAAAGUAGCCAGGGCUCGGCUUGCCAGGCGUAGGGCGGUGUGCUCGCGCGAGCGGGGUCCGUCAGAGGGUCUGCUCUGCCCUUUCGGCGUGGCGCUGCUCGCGCCGCGGCUGCUUUGCGGUGCCGCCGCGCGGCGGGACGGUGCCAGCGCCAACGGCAGGAGGGCCGUUGACACCACCUUCGUGCCCAAAGCGGCCGUGGCCACCGUGGGUAGGCGAAUGGCGCGCAGACGGCCGAGACCCGUCUCAGCCCGGCGCCGGCCGCGCGGCGCACAUGCGAGGUAGGGGCGGCGUAGGGCAGGAAGGGCCCGUUGGCCGCACGUCCAUGCCGCCGCUGUGGGGCGGUUCACCCUGGGCGGCCAGGGUUUGGUUGUGGUGCCACAGCGGCAGGUGAGCCGCGGUCGUGCAUGCGAAUGUGCGCUGGGGGCAGCGGAUUUCGGCGUUGUACAAAGAAGCGUUCAUUUUUCGGUUUGUUUUUCCGAUACCGCCGUGGUAGGUAUAGUGGACGUUUUGUAGUGGAAUGCGAAUUCGAAGGGUGCGCAUGGGCAAGGCACAAGAAAAAAGAAAAACGUUAAGGCGACCGUGCGCGCCCCCUCCUCUUUUCAGGCUUUUUUUGUUUGCGUGCUCAGGAAUGCUCCAUUGGUGUUUUGUGAAAUCUACGCAUGCGGUAAAAAAAAAGUACCACUGCCACUCGCCUUUUUCGUCUGUUCGCUGCCGCCUCCAAAGCUUGUCUUCGGGUACCGAUGGGGGCUUCAUGUCUACAGGAGGGCGUCGAGCUUCCGACGCAGUGAAGAGCCUCGCGAUGUUCAUCCGCGGCUUGCUGGAAAGGGCACCCUUUCUUCUUCGCUUUACCGAGGAUGAAGGCGAGGCCUACUGGCAAUAAGAAAGGAUGGGACAGCGAUGAGCAGAAAAGAGAAAAGCGUGUUGGUCGCGACGGUGAACACUACCUGAGGAAGCUUGACGGAUGACGAUACGGCGCUUGUUCUCCCACGGCGACACGCACAGACUCACGGAAGUGAGAAAUGGGGUGUGUGUAGGGGAGGGGAGCCAUGAAACACAAAUCAACAAUACGGAACAGCUAAGGAAAACACUUCGCUCCCGUCUACUGCCGGCGUGCGCUUUUUUGUGUGCGCACCAGCGAAGAAAAAUAUAUAUGUACAAUCCGGAAAAGGGUGGCUAAUUCACCGAGACGCAACGAGAAGAAAAAGCUAAAAGUAUUGUGGCUAAGUGCCCUUUCUGGUUCGGCCUCCCUUCCCUCCUCUUCCUCGUUUUCACUGAAGCCAUAUGGCUACGUGUGUCCGCAGCAGAAGGAGGUGAGCUGGUCACUCGAUGUGACGAUCGAUCUGGAGUCGCGUGGUGACUUGUUCGUGUGUGGAUGCUUGUGCUAUUUUUUUUUUGAUACUCCUUUCGCAUCCCACUCCGCUGUUGAUAGUCUCUCUUAUCUUCGCGGCCUACCCUCUUACUGUGACUUCGUCUUGACUUUUUCCCUUUCCAUUCUCUUCGAAG